GACGAACCGUGCGAACGUUUGUUCGGAUUCACUGGGCGUAAAGGGCGCGUAGGCGGCUUUAUAAGUCGGGGGUGAAAGCCUGUGGCUCAACCACAGAAUUGCCUUCGAUACUGUAUGGCUUGAGACCGGAAGAGGUAAGUGGAACUGCGAGUGUAGAGGUGAAAUUCGUAGAUAUUCGCAAGAACACCAGUGGCGAAGGCGGCUUACUGGUCCGGUUCUGACGCUGAGGCGCGAAAAGCGUGGGGGAGCAAAACAGG
rnacentral:rRNA from 1 species